AAGGAAUUAAUCUCGAUACCUCUUAUAGAGAAUCUCAAACAUAUGUCACUAGACUACAAUGUUCUUGCCUCCUUGGCGCAUACACUCCAUGUCCAAUUGUGCAUACAAUAUGAAGAAAGUUGGACAGAAGUAUAAAUUGCAACCAUGGCACUGUCCAAGGUUCCAUGGUGUAGUGGUUAGCACUCUGGACUUUGAAUCUAGCGACCUGGGUUCGACUCCCGGUGGGACCUAUUUGCAAUGUCUAAGUAUAAUUUGCUCAUCCUUAAUUAUAUUUUAUGUUCUUAGAAGGGCUUGGACUUUAUGUUGGAGCUUGACUCAAUUAACUUGUAGUCCGAUUAAACAUACGAUAUAAUCAAGUUUAUGAACUUUUAA